UUUCAUACAUUUUUGUUUAAUAUUUAUGUUUUGCUUGUCUGUUUUGAAUAGUCUGCACUGUGUGAAGGGAUGCUACCCCCAGAGUUCCUCAGUGCAUGGGAUAAAUUUGACAAACAAAAACGCUCUGAGAAUGACAGACCAGAUUUCUUUGAAAAACAGCAGCUAUUCAUAAUUCUUGAGUUUGAGUUUGGAGGCACUGACUUGGAGAACUGCAAUGGGACAGUAAGCACGCACUGCCUAGACCCCAUGAUUAUUGAGCACAUGUUUUGGUAGUUACUUAGUUAGGCAACAGCACUAAUAGUCUAGUACGAAAAUCUGAAAUUGUAACUUUUGUGGUUCCGGAAUGUUAGGGGUUGGCAACCUUGUUUUUAUGUUAAUAUAAGAUGUUGGGAACAUAUUUCAUGAAAUGCCACUCGCGUAUCGCGUUUGUCUGUUUUUUAUUGAAGAAAUAAGAAGAGAAUGUUUACCAAAAAGUCGCACCUUCAGUCAUGCACUAUCUGUCAGAUAAAAUGAAAUAUCUGCAAUAUUAAACAAGCUUUUUCUCAUGAAAUUUGCACUGUAUGUGUAGUUUGACAUUAUGUCACCUCACAGGAAAUCUUUGCUUUAUAGGUUUAAAAAUACACUAAUUAUGUCAGUUUUUUCAUAGUGGAAACAAGAUGGUCACUGUAACUGAACUGGCUGAUCCUCAGUUCGAUUGUUGUAUCUUCAUAAUUAUACCAGAUUUUCUGAAAUAAUUGCCACUGUAUAUAGACUAUAUCAACCUCAUGCAGUGUGCAACAUUUCAUCUUCAUCGGUUAAUGCAUAAAUAAAUUACAUGACAUUUAAUCAGUGAAUGUUAACCGAAAUGGCUCAUUUCCAGCCAUGUACUGUUGUCACAUAAAAGUAAAUAUCUUCAAUAUAAAAUAAGAUUUUCUCAUGAAACUUGCACUGUAUGUGUAGUUUGACAUGUCACGUCACAGGAAAUCUUUGCUUUAUAGGUUUAAAAAUAAACUAAUUAUGUCAGUUUUUCAUAGUGGAAACAAGAUGGUCACUGUAACUGAACUGGCUGAUACUCAGUUUGAUUGUUGUAUCUUCAUAAUUAUGCCAGAUUUUCUGAAAUAAUUGCCACUGUAUAUAGACUAUAUCAACCUCAUGCAGUGUGCAACAUUUCAUCUUCAUCGGUUAAUGCAUAAAUAAAUUACAUGACAUUUAAUCAGUCAAUGUUAACCGAAAUGGCUCAUUUCCAGCCAUGUACUGUUGUCACAUAAAAGUAAAUAUCUUCAAUAUAAAAUAAGAUUUUCUCAUGAAACUUGCACUGUAUGUGUAGUUUGACAUGUCACGUCACAGGAAAUCUUUGCUUUAUAGGUUUAAAAAUAAACUAAUGUCAGUUUUUUCAUAGUGGAAACAAGAUGGUCACUGUAACUGAACUGGCUGAUACUCAGUUUGAUUGUUGUAUCUUCAUAAUUAUGCCAGAUUUUAUGAAUAAUUGACACUGUAUAUAGACUAUAUCAACCUCAUGCAGUGUGCAACAUUUCAUCUUUAUCGGUUAAUGCAUAAAUAAAUUACAUGACAUUUAAUUGGUGAAUGAUAACCGAAAUAGCUAAUUUUCAUGCAUGUACUGUUGUCACAUAAAAUGAAAUAUCUCCAAUAUAAAAUAAGAUUUUCUCAUGAAAUUGGCAUAGUAUGUGUGGUUUGAUGUGAUACUAUCAACUCUCAGGAAAUUUUGG
rnacentral:lncRNA from 1 species